ensembl:piRNA 21ur-5089 ncRNA
UUGGGCUCCAAAUAUUUUCAG